GGUAGCCGGCCUGAGAGGGUGUCCGGCCACACUGGGACUGAGAUACGGCCCAGACUCCUACGGGAGGCAGCAGUGGGGAAUAUUGCACAAUGGGCGCAAGCCUGAUGCAGCGACGCCGCGUGGGGGAUGACGGCCUUCGGGUUGUAAACCUCUUUCAGCAGGGAAGAAGCGAAAGUGACGGUACCUGCAGAAGAAGCGCCGGCUAACUACGUGCCAGCAGCCGCGGUAAUACGUAGGGCGCAAGCGUUGUCCGGAAUUAUUGGGCGUAAAGAGCUCGUAGGCGGCUUGUCACGUCGGGUGUGAAAGCCCGGGGCUUAACCCCGGGUCUGCAUUCGAUACGGGCUAGCUAGAGUGUGGUAGGGGAGAUCGGAAUUCCUGGUGUAGCGGUGAAAUGCGCAGAUAUCAGGAGGAACACCGGUGGCGAAGGCGGAUCUCUGGGCCAUUACUGACGCUGAGGAGCGAAAGCGUGGGGAGCGAACAGGAUUAGAUACCCUGGUAGUCCACGCCGUAAACGGUGGGAACUAGGUGUUGGCGACAUUCCACGUCGUCGGUGCCGCAGCUAACGCAUUAAGUUCCCCGCCUGGGGAGUACGGG
rnacentral:rRNA from 1 species